GACGAACGCAGGCGGCGUGCCUAAUACAUGCAAGUAGAACGCUGAAGGAGGAGCUUGCUUCUCAGGAUGAGUUGCGAACGGGUGAGUAACGCGUAGGUAACCUGCCUGGUAGCGGGGGAUAACUAUUGGAAACGAUAGCUAAUACCGCAUAAUAGUAGAUGUUGCAUGACAUUUACUUAAAAGGUGCAAUUGCAUCACUACCAGAUGGACCUGCGUUGUAUUAGCUAGUUGGUGGGGUAACGGCUCACCAAGGCGACGAUACAUAGCCGACCUGAGAGGGUGAUCGGCCACACUGGGACUGAGACACGGCCCAGACUCCUACGGGAGGCAGCAGUAGGGAAUCUUCGGCAAUGGACGGAAGUCUGACCGAGCAACGCCGCGUGAGUGAAGAAGGUUUUCGGAUCGUAAAGCUCUGUUGUAAGAGAAGAACGAGUGUGAGAGUGGAAAGUUCACACUGUGACGGUAUCUUACCAGAAAGGGACGGCUAACUACGUGCCAGCAGCCGCGGUAAUACGUAGGUCCCGAGCGUUGUCCGGAUUUAUUGGGCGUAAAGCGAGCGCAGGCGGUUAGAUAAGUCUGAAGUUAAAGGCUGUGGCUUAACCAUAGUACGCUUUGGAAACUGUUUAACUUGAGUGCAAGAGGGGAGAGUGGAAUUCCAUGUGUAGCGGUGAAAUGCGUAGAUAUAUGGAGGAACACCGGUGGCGAAAGCGGCUCUCUGGCUUGUAACUGACGCUGAGGCUCGAAAGCGUGGGGAGCAAACAGG
rnacentral:rRNA from 1 species